rnacentral:rRNA from 1 species
UGUGGUUAUUACAGCAAAGAGGAUACACCUGUUCCCAUACCGAACACAGAAGUUAAGCUCUUUAGCGCUGAAGGUACUUGGUGGGAAGCUGUCUGGGAGAAUAGGACAUAGCCACGU